GUGAAUCAUCGAAUCUUUGAACGCAAAUUGCACUCUCUUCGGAGAGUAUGACUGUCUGAGGGUCAGCCUAUAAAAAAUCGAAAUCGUUGCUGUUUCGCGGCGGCGUUCGUCGGAAAUUGGGUCAUCUUCAAUCUUUUGGUUUUAAGCGACUUAAAAUUUUCUUAUUGGUUCCAUGAACGUUUCUAAGAUUUAUUUAUUUACACGUUUAAGGUCUAGAUUUUUAUUAGACGUUACUAUCAUAUCGGAUCGCGUCCAUAAUAUUAAAUUAACUGACC
rnacentral:misc_RNA from 1 species